rnacentral:rRNA from 1 species
AUUGAACGCUGGCGGCAGGCCUAACACAUGCAAGUCGAACGAGUGGCGGACGGGUGAGUAAUGUCUGGGAAACUGCCUGAUGGAGGGGGAUAACUACUGGAAACGGUAGCUAAUACCGCAUACCAUCGGAUGUGCCCAGAUGGGAUUAGCUAGUAGGUGGGGUAACGGCUCACCUAGGCGACGAUCCCUAGCUGGUCUGAGAGGAUGACCAGCACCACUGGGACGGGGACACGGCCCAGACGCCUACGGGAGGCAGCAGUGGGGAAUAGUGCACAAGGGGCGGAAGCCUGAUGCAGCCAGGCGGCGUGUGUGAAGAAGGCCUUGGGGUUGUAAAGCACUUUCAGCGGGGAGGCGUUACCGACAGAAGAAGCACCGGCUAACUCCGUGCCAGCAGCCGCGGUAAUUC